GAUAGAUAGAUAGAUAGAUAGAUAGAUAGAUAGAUAGAUAGAUAGAUAGAUAGAUAGAUAGAUAGAACAUUUUUAGCUUGCAAAAAUAUGUUAUUGUCAGUGACUGCUACUGUAAGCUCUAUUGUGCAUCUGAAGGGUCAUAAAAAUGAAUGGGCGAAUGUAGAACCAGAUAAAAAGAAAUGUUGGACAGGAUCAGUUCGCGGGAAAAAGAGGCGGACUUCAGUUUGACCAGUGAGUGUGGAACUUGAGCACGUCAUUUUCGCGGUAAUGUCUCGCAACAACAACAGCGCUCUGCAGCAGAAAAAAAUACUCUCGAGAAGGAUAAUGAAAAUGUGUGUUAAAACAUGGCAACGUACGUCUUGAACCUUUUUUUGCACUGUAUUGGACCUCCUUGAAGCCAAAGGAAUGAGAGGGGAAAACUUUUAAAGACUCCUCCUCCUCCUGACGUAACAGAAACGUCAGAGCCUGUUUCCCGCUGUCCGCGGGAAAUGCAAAUGUUUUCGUUUUGGGUCCAGAGACAAAACAUAACACCGAACUUUAAACGACAAAUACGAAUGGAUUUCAAUCUGGAAAUCAGUAACAGAGCCGGGAGUUUCCUGUGCUGCUGUGGACGUGACAACCCUGGUGUGUACCGAUUAUGUAAUGCGUUAACAGACGUUCAGCUCUCAGUUGAAGAAACAACGCCAUCUCUUGGUGAAAGCACUGUAUGACCAUCGGAUUAUGGUUAAGGUGGAGGAAUUAUUAGGACAGUUUAGAAAGAGCAUGUGGAUCAAGAUUAUGAAAAAGCUUUAAAUUAAGCAUUUAUAAGAUGGAGCACUGGCCCCCUGGAAAUCUUUGUUGCUCGAGCCACAUCUGUUGCAUAUUCCUGAGAGGGGCUGACGUCAAUGUUGCCCCAGCCAAUAUCAAGAAUCUAUCUUUCUAAGACUAUUUUAUUCCCAGAUCACACAGAACGAUUCAUUUACCAAGUGUAGAGAUCCAGUUGCAGCUGUUCUUGACUCACUGAAGUGAGUCUUCAAGCAAUGUGACGCAUCUCUGAUAAUAUAGAAUAUAGAUAAGUCUUAGAAUUAAUAUAUAAAGCUUUAAAAUAGACUACAUAAGAGCUUAGAGUUCACAUGCACUGACAUUGCUAGAUGUUUUCUUAUGGUUGUCCUCUUGCACGGACAGCUCUUUUCACCUUGCUGUGAAAUUUGUAGUGGUUUUACUAGAUAUAUUACACAUUCUACUACUUUUUCAAUCCGUUAAUCCUUAGCAGUGAUUUGAGAGAAGAGAAUAACAGUUAAAAGGCAUAUGAUUUGCUGUUCUUUACUGAUGUCACGCUUUCAAGUGCAUACGCUCCAUAAACUCAAAGCCUGAGAUGACAGAGAAAGUUGUUGAUCAUCAUCAUGGUACCAUCAAAGCAGCACUGGAUUGGAUUGGUUUUGUCAACUCAGAAAUAAUUCUGUUACCCGGAGUUUGUUCAGCCACCAUCAUGGUACAAGCCCCCUGGUGUCCCACACCUUGAGUUUGUGGAGGAUUUGUCUAUAGGUGUGAAAAGUUACUAAUGGCAAGUGUUGUUGUUGUUUUUUUUUUUUAUAUAUAAAAAUCAUAUUUAUGUUACAUGUAUGUAAAUUGUUUUUUUAACUACAUCUGCUGUAAGAUGAUGAUCUGUUUUAGGCUUGGUAUGAAAUUCUUGAAUGUAUACAUAAAUCUGGGAUAUUGGGUAAUCAUUGAAAACAAUGUUAAAAUAAUGUAAAUCGAUGUCUAAUGUAUCUUCCUCGCUGCCUUAGCAGUUUGAAAUUAUAUAAUAAAUGCAUAAUUCAUUCCCCAUUUAAGAUCUUUUUACUUAUGGUUUUUUUACUUAUUUACUUAUUUUACUGCUAUGGUUCAGCAUUAGAGGGUUUGCUGGUCUUAGCUGGUUUAAAAUGGUCUCUUGUCUAACUGAUCUCUGUUGAAGAGCUCAAAACCCUCUCUAUAACAGCCCAAACAGGCUGGGAGACCUGAGAUUUUGUAUCACGUGUUUGUGUUGUCUUUUUAUGUUGUCAGUUUUGUCACAAUAAAUUAUUAAUUCUGUUUCAUGUAUUUUAUUUUGUGCACACGUUUGAAUUAACUUAAUAGUGCAUGCCUGAUAGGCCGAUUCCUUUUAGGAAAUAUAUUUGCACAUUUGCAGACCAUGCAUAGUCUGAGAGCUCUGAUUAAAGGCCCUGUCCCAAAUGAAAGACUUCAUGUGUUCUUGCGGUCUCACGGACUUACGCGUGUCCGUUAAGUCCAUGAGACCGUACAGUAGGGUGUCCCAUUUAUAAUUUUAUCGUUCAGAAGGAUGCUCGCGAGCGCGCCCUUUGUGGACGUUUCUUUCUAAUACUGAAGCCCUCACUGAAGCGAGAUCUGCAGCAAGAGCUACGGGGAGCUAUGAAACCAACCAAGCCAAACACAAAUGUUUCCAGUGCAUACGCUUCCUGUGCAAUCUUGAAACGGAAUAAUGCGUCAUAAAAGACAGCUCUCCAAGUUACUAUUGGUUCACAUAACAACACUCCACCAAUAGCUGAACUUUUCACACGAAAACGUCUUUCCCACUCUAAAUCUCUCAAUGACUUUCGCGGCUGCUUCGCCACAAUCAAACAUCGAGCUCUUAUUUCACGCGCUGUGGUGCAUGGCUGGGACAUUUGAAUCAGCUUCGAUUGUCGCUUAUUUAAAGAUCGUAAGGAAUUACUAAAGUAAAAAACCAGUGACUGACAUGGAAAUCAAUCACGAGGGUUCCAUGUUUGAAUGUCUGUGGAGGCCACUAGUAGGAGUCUGGAGAUGCCUGUGGAGCCUGGUGACUGAUGAUUCUGAAAUAAAACUUUCAGAAGAGGAAACAGAACCAGUGUCUGCCAUCACCAGUGCCCCCUAUAGCUCUGUCCAUCCAUGGUUUGAGAGUCAUGGAGAAGAGGGUGGAGUCUAGUGUGGAAGAGUGAAUACAUGACUAUUGCCUUAUACAUAUUUUAUUAUGGUUCUUUUGUUUGUUGCUCAAGGGCUCUCUGCCGGUGCCUAUUCUGACAAUAGUUGACUGUUACUUUGAGUAUUCAGACUUGAUGAGAAUUGCUUUUUUAUUGUAAAUAAGAAAUAAGAUUUAAAAAAAAAUUCAGUUUGUCACUUUUAUCCAAAUUGUACUGUUAUAGGAAACAAAAACAACAUUGAGCCUCAGCAAUGUGCAUAAAAUCUGGGCAAUGGUUAUGCAUUUUUGUAGCCCACCCCAGAAGUUCAACUCGCCCUGUGUCCCUUUGACAAAAACCCCAUGGGAUUGACUGGAUUAUUGCAGAAAAUAUGUUUUGUGACAAACAAAAGUUUAAGUUUCUUACAUGUUUUGUUCAUCAUGAUAAUCUUCACAAAUUAAGCAUUCUGAAGAGUUUAUUUUAAAGACAUUUUCCCUGAUGAUUUGAGUUUGAAUAGUUUGCAAGUGUGUGAAUAUAAAAACAAUGUGGCUGGUAAAGUGGACUAGUGAGAUGGGUGUACCAGCGGUCUACCAGUUGGGUGACAACCACUGUCUAAUUUAUCCACUUGUUAGCAACCUUUUUUUCAAGACACAUUAACACAUUAAAACACACAAGGAGUAUUACUGAUGUAUUUAUUGUCACAGUAUAAAAUGCAUCAGCUUUAAAAUUGUAACUGGAAGUGCUAAAAUGCAAACUUGUUUCCAGCCUUGGGCCUACAGUAUAACCACAUCUUCUCUGCAGCACUCUAUGCAUGGCAUAGCUUAGCUAUUCUUAUACAUUUAAAACUUAAGUGUAAUACUCCAUUAUGAAAAUGUUAGAAAUCUGCCUAUAAAGAAUGAAUCUUUAUUCAGAUCUUUCUUCUGUUUUAUGCUUAAGGUUAGGGUAAAUUAAGUUUGUACAGCACUUUGGUCAAAACUCUUAUGAAGUUGUAAUAUUUAAGUUUUUUGGAAUACAAAUGCUUUUGCUACUUUUUAUCAACUAUUUUUUUUAUUCAGAUUGUAUUUUGGAUAAUUUUUGCCUUCAUAAAUAGCAGUCGAAACCGUUAAUGUAAUAAAAAUGUAAGUGACAUUUGUGACCAUUAAAUUUACAUUUUUGGGUGUACUAUCCCUUUUAUUGUAUUUAUGAUGUAUGCAUGCAGUUUUGCUGUUGAAUUUUGUAAUGUUGGCAGGACUAAUUUAUUUAUUGUUAGUACUGUUUUUACCAAUUUUCUUGCUGUAAGGUAAUUUUGGGAGUUUAGAAAGGCAGCAUUAAAUAAAAUGAAUAAUUCUAA